AAUAUCAAACCAUUAAAACUCCAUAUCCAAUCCUCUAGUGGCUCUAUCCCCCCUUUCUGCCUUCUGCAGCAAAACUGAUGUUUUGUCAUGCUCAUAUUUGAUCUCACACCUAUAUAAACACACACUUUAUAUCUUCUUCUGAUAAUAAUUGUUGAUUUAACAGCACAUUAUUUUUCACAUUCUCUCUCUCAUCUUUCCCUUUGAACAACAAGAGAGAGAGAGACAGAUCCAACGGCGGGAAAUAUAUUUCAUUUGUAGAAUUUAUAGUGAAAAAACUUUCACAAACAUUUUCUCAAACAGUUUACGAACACUUUUUCAUCUUCUCUCUUUCUCUCUCAGAAACUUCAAAACCCUAAAAUUCUCGAAUUCCUCUUUCAUCUUCUUCUUCUUCUUCUUCUUCUUCUUCUUCUUCAAUGGCGCUUCCUCCACAACCCGAAUCCAACAAUGGAGGAAUUGUCGCCAACGCCACCGAAGAAACCGACGGAACUCCCAUUCGUUACCUUCCUCUCGAUCAUCUCUACUCCGCUACGUCACCUUGUAGCGGUUCAUCCAAUGUCAUGUCCAAAAAAGUUAAAGCACGAAAACUCUCCAACAACAACAACGAAGACAGCGAGAUUCAGUUCAGUAAUGGUGAAAUCGAUGAUUCCCCGAUUGAAAUUGAAAAAACCUUGUCGAAGAUGACGUUGUUUUCUGUGGAGGAUUAUCCUAAACCGCCGCUUUUGUUUGUUUACACGCGCCGGAGACGGAAGAGAAGUUCAAUUGAGGUUGAUUGUGAGAGGACGGUGUUGAAGAGGAGGAGAAUUGGGAGUAAUGAGUUGGAGAGAUUAGGGAUUGAUUUGAAUUUGAUUGGGAAAAUUGAUGAUGGUCCUGGAUUGAGAAAAUGUCGAAAUCAAAUUGGGAAUUUUUCUGAGAAUUGUGAUUCUGUUGCUAAGAAUUCAAAGUUGGUGCCUGAAUCUUACACAUUGAAGAGAUGGGUCGGGUUGAGUUUUGAUGAUGCCAAUCCGGAGGCUUUUGUUGGUUUGAAAUGCAAGGUUUACUGGCCCAUGGAUUUAAAAUCAUACACUGGCCUUGUCAAAAGUUACGACAGAGAAGCUAAGAUACAUCAUAUCGAGUAUGAUGAUGGAGAAGAGGAAAAUUUAAUUCUUUCAAAUGAAAAUGUAAAAUACCAUGUUUCCCGUAAUGACAUGGAACGUUUAAAAUUGAGUUACGCCAAAGUUCAUGACAAUAAUGUCUCUGAUUAUAAUGUUGAAGAGAUGCUCGCACUGGCUGCAAGUAUGAAUGAUUGUCAAGACUUUGAGCCCGGGGAUAUAGUAUGGGCUAAGCUUACAGGUUAUGCUAUGUGGCCAGCAGUUGUUCUGGAUGAAUCACUUGCUAGCAGCUGUAAGGGUUUAAAAACGUUCAUAGGGGGGAGAUCAGUUCCUGUCCAAUUUUUUGGCACCCAUGACUUUGCAAGAGUUCGAGUGCAACAGGUGAAAUCAUUUCUCAGUGGACUUCUAACAGAUCUACACUCAAAGUGCAAGAAACCGAGUUUCAUUGAAGGUUUAGAAGAGGCAAAAAGGUAUCUAAGCGCACAGAAGCUUCCUUUGGGGAUGAUAGAAUUGAGGAAAAGAUAUGACUGUAACAAUGUAAGUGGAGAGGAUGGAGGAUGUUCAGAUUCGGGUGAAGACUAUGUAAGUGACAAAGGGGCUUGGGCAGCACUUCAAAAGAUCGACACCUUUCCUUAUGAAGUGGGAGACUUGCAAAUUCUAAACCUUGGAAAAAUAGUUGGAGAUUCUACAGCUUUUCGGGAUGGAAGAUCCAUCUGGCCUGAAGGGUACACAGCAGUGAGGAAGUUCACUUCAGUUACUGACCCUGAAGUAUCUGUCCCUUACAAGAUGGAGGUUUUGAGAGAUCCAGAAUCCAGAUUCAGACCACUAUUUAGAGUGACAGUUGAUGGUGGUGAGCAGUUCAAUGGUUAUAAACCAUCUACUUGCUGGAAUCAAGUAUAUGAAAGGAUAAAGAAAUUGAAAAAGGCCGUUUCUGAAGGUUCUGUUGUUGACAGCGUGGUAGAAAGUGGCUACGAGUCUGGCUCAGAUAUGUUUGGUUUCUCCAAUCCUGAAGUGGCUAAACUUAUAAAGGGAUUAUCUAAAUCCAAAGUCUCUUUGAAGAAAUCAAGUUGCAAGUCAGGUUCCAGAUUGCCUGUUGGUUAUAGGCAGGUUCAUAUUAAUUGGUUUGAUCUCGAUAAGUGCAAUGUGUGUCAUAUGGAUGAGGAGUACGAGAACAAUCUCUUUCUGCAGUGCGACAAAUGCAGAAUGAUGGUCCAUGCUAGAUGCUAUGGAGAACAUGAACCUGUUAAUGGAGUGCUAUGGUUAUGCAACUUAUGUCGUUCGGGUGCUCCUCCCCCACCUUGUUGCUUAUGUCCACUCAUAGGUGGUGCAAUGAAGCCUACAACGGAUGGCCGAUGGGCUCAUUUGGCUUGUGCCAUGUGGAUACCUGAAACUUGCUUAGCUGAUGUCAAGAGAAUGGAGCCUAUUGAUGGUUUGAGGAGAAUCAGUAAGGACCGUUGGAAGUUGUUAUGCAGCAUAUGUGGUGUAUCUUAUGGUGCUUGCAUCCAAUGUUCAAACAAUUCUUGUCGAGUAGCAUAUCAUCCACUCUGUGCACGUGCAGCUGGUCUUUGUGUUGAGCUUGAGAACGAGGAUAGGCUCUACCUACUUUCUGUAGAUGAUGAUGAGGAUCAGUGCAUCCGCUUACUUUCUUUCUGCAAGAAACAUAGGCAGCCAUCUCAUGAUCAUUCUGUUGCUGAUGAACGUGUCCAGGUUAUUGGUCAAUGUUCAGACUAUGAACCACCACCCAAUCCAUCUGGGUGUGCCCGAAGUGAACCAUACGAUUACUUUGGUAGGAGAGGCCGAAAAGAACCUGAAGCACUUGCAGCUUCAUCGCUGAAACGUUUAUUUGUGGAGAAUCAACCUUACUUAGUUGGUGGAUACUGCCAACAUGGAUUGUUGAACGACUCAGAGCCUUCUGGUAGAGGCGUCUGCUCAAAAUUCUUUUGUAGUGAACAAAGGCUGAGAACCUCUAUGGUUGAUGCUGCAGACAGCAUACUUACUGUUGCCGAGAAAUACAAGUACAUGAGCGAAACCUUUCGGAAACAGUUGGCGUUUGGGAAAUCAAGAAUUCAUGGAUUUGGUAUCUUUGCAAAGCAUCCAUAUAAAGGUGGAGACAUGGUGAUCGAAUACACCGGUGAACUUGUUAGACCUCCUAUAGCUGACCGGAGAGAGCGUUUUAUAUACAAUUCUUUGGUGGGUGCUGGAACGUAUAUGUUUCGAAUUGAUGAUGAACGAGUCAUUGAUGCCACUAGAGCAGGAAGCAUUGCUCAUUUAAUUAAUCAUUCCUGCGCACCAAAUUGCUAUUCAAGAGUCAUUAGUGUUAACGGCGAUGAGCAUAUUAUAAUAUUUGCCAAGAGGGACAUUAAACAAUGGGAAGAGCUCACAUAUGAUUAUAGAUUUUUCUCAAUAGAUGAGCGGCUUUCUUGUUACUGUGGCUUCCCAAAAUGUCGAGGUGUAGUAAAUGAUACUGAGGCAGAAGAGCGAGCGGGUACCCGAUAUGCACCACGAAGUGAAUUAGUAGAUUGGAAAGGAGAAUGAGAUUUUUAAUCCUAAAUUAUGCCAUGGAUUCUUGAAGAUAGACCGUUUGUCCAACAACUUCUGUCAUGAAUUCUGCCAUUUUCCGAAAGUACAGUGUAGUACAUAAGUCAUCUGAUUCUCCCCAUUAAUCCAUAACCCCAACUGAGCUGUUUAUGUUGGCUCAAGGUGGUUUCCUCAGUAUUCUGGUUAUGGGUAUUACAAGAUUGCAUAAAUGAAGAUGACAUCCUUGAGAAAUCUAUGAGUGGAAAUGGAAACACUUGCACAAAUGCCUUGUCAAUUUGUUGUAUUCUUUUAGUUACUUUGCUUAACAAUUAGAGAAUUUUUAGGCUUUUUAAAAUAUAAUUUGUAAGAGCCUCAUUUUAGAAUUCAAAUGGAAAAAUCAUUGAUUAUACUGAAAUCGGAUUGUGAUUCAUAUUAAAUUUUACUUCUAAUAUCAGAGAAUAAAUCCUGUGAUUAUA